AUUGAACGCUGGCGGCAGGCCUAACACAUGCAAGUCGAGCGGAUGAAGGGAGCUUGCUCCUGGAUUCAGCGGCGGACGGGUGAGUAAUGCCUAGGAAUCUGCCUGGUAGUGGGGGAUAACGUCCGGAAACGGGCGCUAAUACCGCAUACGUCCUGAGGGAGAAAGUGGGGGAUCUUCGGACCUCACGCUAUCAGAUGAGCCUAGGUCGGAUUAGCUAGUUGGUGGGGUAAAGGCCUACCAAGGCGGCGAUCCGUAACUGGUCUGAGAGGAUGAUCAGUCACACUGGAGCUGGGACACGGUCCUGGCUCCUACGGGAGGCAGCAGUGGGGAAUGUUGGACAAUGGGCGGAAGCAUGAUCCAACCGUGCCGCGUGUGUGAAGGAGGUCUUCGGAUUGUAAAGCACUUUAAGUGGUGGGGAAGGGCAGUAAGUUAAUACCUUGCUGUUUCGACGUUACCAACAGAAUAAGCACCGGCUAACUUCGUG
rnacentral:rRNA from 1 species